CUCUGCACAGGUUUUGAUAAAUCUCCCCCACUGUGUUGUAAUGGGCAGCACUAGAAAGCAGCCAAGAAUUUUAUCAGAUGGGUCCAAAUUGUUCAAUGGGUGCAGAAAUCACGGAUCGCUGUUGCAGUAGGGUUGAUACACUGUAACAAGCCCUGCACCUGUGUCACAUGGGAGAUAAGAAUAUGGUCCAGCCUGAAGAAAGAAAACAGACCUCAGGAAGAGAUCUGCUCCCUAUAAAUA